GGAGGGGAGGUCGGACUGCAGCUGCUGGAAUUCCAGCCACGGACUCGUUCCAGUGGAGGGACCUGCGGGCACGUGUGCCACCGGCGAGCCCCGGCCUAUUCCGGCGGGUCCUGGCCUCCUCGACGCUCCCCCCCGCCCCUCGUCCCUUCCCUUCCUGCCACCACCCGCCGAGCUGCCGUGUGGCCUCCGUCUGUCUCUGAAGCACAGCGGGUGCUCGUUUUCCUUUUGUGAAUGUUUGAAGUGUUUUAUACGUGGAAAAGCACGUCUUUAAGGAACAACGUGUGGGCCCCGUGUCUCCACCCUCGAGUCACUCCGAAGCCUGGAGGGAGCCCCGUCGGAGCCUGCAUUGCUGCCCCCAUGCUUCGUGGCUGUCCUUCUGGACCUUGCCGGCCUCUGCGAGCCUGGCCCCCGCGGGGUGCUCGCUGGGCCCGAGAAGCUCCCGUCUCCGCCGGACCCCGGAAGACCUUUCCAGGUUCAUUGUUGACCUGCAGCAGCGAGAGGUGGUCUUGCAGGACCGGAACAACACCAUCACCAGCAGCGUGGGCUCCCAGUGACCCCCUGAUGGUGUGGAACCCGGCGCCCAGGGGGCAGCGUGUGCGUGUCCGUGUGCUCAGGAAGGUCCCCACAGAGGAACAGAGAUCGGGAAGACCUCGCCCAGGCUGCACAGUGAGG